rnacentral:rRNA from 1 species
GAUGAACGCUGGCGGCGUGCCUAAUACAUGCAAGUCGAGCGAAUGGAUUAAGAGCUUGCUCUUAUGAAGUUAGCGGCGGACGGGUGAGUAACACGUGGGUAACCUGCCCAUAAGACUGGGAUAACUCCGGGAAACCGGGGCUAAUACCGGAUAACAUUUUGAACCGCAUGGUUCGAAAUUGAAAGGCGGCUUCGGCUGUCACUUAGGGAUGGACCCGCGUCGCGUUAGCUAGUUGGUGAGGUAACGGCUCACCAAGGCAACGAUGCGUAGCCGACCUGAGAGGGUGAUCGGCCACACUGGGACUGAGACACGGCACAGACUCCUACGGGAGGCAGCAGUAGGGAAUCUUCCGCAAUGGACGAAAGUCUGACGGAGCAACGCCGCGUGAGUGAUGAAGGCUUUCGGGUCGUAAAACUCUGUUGUUAGGGAAGAACAAGUGCUAGUUGAAUAAGCUGGCACCUUGACGGUACCUAACCAGAAAGCCACGGCUAACUACGUGCCAGCCGCCGCAGUAA